CCUACGGGAGGCAGCAGUGAGGAAUAUUGGUCAAUGGCCGCAGGGCUGAACCAGCCAAGUCGCGUGAGGGAUGACGGUCCUAUGGAUUGUAAACCUCUUUUGUCAGGGAGCAAAGGGCGCCACGUGUGGCGCUUUGCGAGUACCUGAAGAAAAAGCAUCGGCUAACUCCGUGCCAGCAGCCGCGGUAAUACGGAGGAUGCGAGCGUUAUCCGGAUUUAUUGGGUUUAAAGGGUGCGCAGGCGGAAUGUCAAGUCAGCGGUAAAAUUUCGGGGCUCAACCCCGUCGUGCCGUUGAAACUGGCGUUCUUGAGUGAGCGAGAAGUAUGCGGAAUGCGUGGUGUAGCGGUGAAAUGCUUAGAUAUCACGAAGAACCCCGAUUGCGAAGGCAGCUUACUAAACUGUGACUGACAUUGAUGCUCGAAAGUGUGGGUAUCAAACAGGAUUAGAUACGCUUGUAGUC
rnacentral:rRNA from 1 species